AGGAAAGUUGUUGUUUCUUGUGAUAAGUUCGAUGGUUGGAUCAUUUCGGGCAUGUAUGGGAGCCGGACUCGACAAGUUCAAGAACAACAUGGAAUCAAUUCGAAACACAAUGCUGAUGCAUGAAGAUGUGUUCAAACACCAGGUACGAGAACUUCACCGUCUGUAUAGUGUUCAAAAGAUACUAAUGGAUGAGUUGAAGAAGGAAAUCAAGAACGGGUUUUGGACUACCACUAGUGAGUUGAAUUUAUAUGUUCAAGGUGAUACAACAGAGCAAGAGGAUUUGAUCUAGAGGCCAUCUGGGGAAGAAGCAGACACUGUUGUUGUUGCUGCUGAAGACCACCAAGCAGGGCCUAGCUCCAGAACUAACCAGGUGAUGAGCAUUGAGGGCUCUGAUGAGGACAGUGAAGUUGAAUUGACACUAAGUAUUGGAAUUGGAGGCAGCUGUUCAAGCAAGAAGAAGCUAAAGAACUCCAGUACUAGUUCUCAGUCUGUUCAUAAUAAGAUCACUAGGGAGCUUGAUUCAUCGGCUUCGAGCAGCGGCCCCGGCACUCCGGUGAGCAGUUCUAGGACAACAUUUGAUCAGGAAAAGAAGCUGCCACAUUGGCUUUUCCAAGGUUUUAGCAUAAACAGGACUUAAAACCACUGAACUAUAUAUAUGAACUUACAUUAGUUUGGAUCUGCGUAUCCUUUCAACUCCUUUUGGACAUUUGAUCAUAUUUACUUGGUUCAUCACUUUAGAUUACUAAUUGUUUUAGUUUUUCUUAACCUAAUAAAAGAUAAUUUGGGUGUACAAUACAUUGUUGUAAAUAGGUCAGUGGCCAAUAGGAUUUCAUGGAAUUUGUCAUUGGUUGGUUUACUGCUAGUGAAUUCU